rnacentral:lncRNA from 1 species
UAAUAUAUUCUCAUUAGGGACCUUAUACUUUCUAUUUCUUACAUAAUUUCAUGGCAAUUUUUAUAUUUAUUAAAUUUGAUCCCUAAUGUAGUAAAGUUAACAAAUAAGCCAAACUAACUUGAUAAUCAUGAAAUUAUGUAGGAUUCAAAACUAGCUUGUUUGAAAAAGACCUAAUGUAAAUUGAAUAAAUAAAUUUUAGCAACCCUAAUCCCUUCAAGUUAAAAAUUAGGAUUCAAUUUGAAUAAAUUAGGAACCAAAUUGGGGUCGUUACACUUCUUCCCUCCACCAUACUUUCUUAGCAGCCCUAAUCGCUCCAAGGGUGGUUGAGUUCAACGCUGGAAUCUCAAUGUCCAUCACCAAAUUUUUGCAGCCGAGUAAUGUAGGAUUCAAAAGUUAAAUCAUUAGAUUUUAAUCUUCUGGAUGUUAAAAAGUGAUAAGAGAUUUACAGAAAACAAAUUUAAUGUUUUGGUUGGAUGCAUGAUGGAAGUAAAACUUUUAAGAAUAUAAUAACAAAAACAAAAAUUACUAAAGCAAAGCCCUGCACAGUCCCUAAUCAAAAGUUUCAGUCAUACACAUCUCUAUAGACUUUAUUUCCUGAUACAAAAUUGCUUCGAAAUGCUUGAAUCGAAGGUGUCAUUACUCAUUAGUAUACAAUAUUUUCUUUUAGAGAAAAUAAAAUUACUCAAUCACCAAAAUGAACAAACAAUUACAGCUAUCCAUGAAACGGAGAUGAGGCACUUGAAAUCUUGCCUUUCUGCUUGAGAAGUAGUGGUGUGGUGGUAAUCAUAGUCUAGCAAAAACAUCUCAAGAAGUUGAUGAGGAAAUGGAACAAGUAAUUUUCUUGGUCUAACAUUUCAUGUCGAACCAGUCUUUCCCAGAUGAUGUUCUGAGGCAGAUUAUCACUGUAAUAUAGCAAGGUUGCGACAGAAGCUGCAGGCUCGGUGAGUAACGACAUCAAUAGCCGCAAUAGAGACCGAAACAAAAGGGGCGUCAGAGACUGCAAUAAAGAAGGAAAUACAAGUAUAGGGUGAGCCUUAUCUAUCUACACACACAUGUGUAUGAAUGAAUAUUGAUGUUAUGAUGAUAAAGAACGAUGAAAGAAGAGAUGGCCAAGGAAAAGAAGCAUAUACCAUGGGUUACUGUGGAGUUUGGAGAGCCUGAAAGAAUGCCGGAAAUGGGAACUUGAAACAGGUAGUCAAAGAAAGUUUGGGCCAUUGGGUUUGGGUUCUUUAACUGCCAAUCUUAGGAACCAGCUGACAUUCAGACCUAACCUUCCUUGUAGUUACCAGGAACUAUGAAAAAAAUUGGGAACUGGUAGCUAGAGAAAACCGAGGGGUCAAACCGUUCUACUGUACUUGUGAAAUAUAUAUUCUUUUGAUUGCCUAUUAGUACAAGCGACUUCCUCCCUCCCUGGCCAUUUGGGAAUCAUGGGUUUAACAGUUUGGUUCAGUACUAUACAUUAUUUUCUUGUUCAAUGCUAUCGGGGUACCAUUCUCAAUCAACUCUAACAGUCAACUAUUGAAAAUUUGAAUAUGAACCAAGUUAGAUUUCUGGGUUGUUAAAUACAAUGCAAGAAGAGGAGAAAAUGCCUUUACUACGUAGAUUUUCUUCCUGUUUUCCAAGCCUUCCAUCUAAUUUCAUUGAUUCUUUCUCUUCCACUAACUGCCACAUUUCACGUUUACAAUAUAUAUAUAUAUAUUCUAGAUUAUGAGUAAUAUACAGACUGGAAAACUAGUAAUAUUUUUCUUGAUGAUGAUGAUGUGAACCCUAAAUAUCAGAUUUUGGAAUGCCAAGAAUAUUUCGUCACAAUCGAGUCCAUGAUACAAACAGCGUGAGUUGGCACAUAGUAAUAUAAACGAAAAAGUUUAUGACAUAACAUUUACUAUAUUUUGGGCCUAAAUUUCUACAAGAACCAAAAGAACCUGCAUAUGCUACUAAAACUGAAACAAGGGUAACAUUUCCUGAUACUGAAUCAGGCAAUCUUUCGGCAAAUAUCGUCCAUAUAUCCAUGAUAGAAGCUAACUAGAGAUAUGUGUUCCUUUUUCCCUCUAAAAGUUCUAGCUAAUCAUGUCUAUAGUUAUGUAAU